GCGCCACUUUCAUCUCCACCAUCCACAAGACUUAUUUAGGAGCUGAGAUGGCAUCCAGUUUUUCAACUCCAAGUGAACCAAGUGAUGAGGACGAUGUGUCACAAAGUUUGGAGCGUUUGAGCCGAGGCAGGUCCGGUGGACGGUCGAGAGGACGAGCAAGAGGGUUCAGGGUACGAGGUAGAGGCCGAGGAACACGAGCUGUAGCUUCCAGCGCUGAGCACUCGGAUAGAGUUGAACAGUAUCGCCGUGACCGUUUGGCUGCCACACAGAGACUUCUUGAUGACAUGACUGCUGAGGACGUAAGAAGGCUUGCAUCACAGCUCGUCAAAGGCAACCAGGCCUGAUUUUUGAUCUUCUAUUGCAACAGAGCAAUUCAAGCGUCUCAGAGGCAGCAGGAGUCCCAGGAAAGCCCUGGUGUACUUGUGGGUUAUGCAGGGAGAUGCCAACCGACAGGGAGAGGAUCUGCUGUGGUCAGACACCAGCUAACUGCAUCAGCAAGCUACCACAUUUUACCCAAUAUUGCCUUGAUGAAGGAUAUCUUAGGAUACAUAGGCAUUAUCGAGAGGAUGUGACAGCACUUGGCCAUGCAACAGAGCCAGGUGAUGACAACAGGCAGUACCGGUAUGCCGCCUAUAGGCAUUUCAUAUUAUGGAAGCUCGGCUCCCUGGGAGCAGGAAAUCGGCGUGUCAUCCCCAGUUGUUGUGUGUGGGCUAUUAGAGAAAAGUUUCCUGAUCCACACAGACAGUACACCGGUUUUGUUCCUGGCAUAUGAUUGUGUUUUUAGGUAAACUGCAAAUUAAUAAUAACAAAUCUGUGAAAUUUUAUAGAUUGUACAUAAUUAUUGUAUAAUUUCUGUU